rnacentral:lncRNA from 1 species
AACGUCUGCUUUUGUUUGGCUUCUAGUCGCCAUGUUUGUGCUGGUAGUCGGAGUUUAUUAGGGAGUUGGGAUAGGUAAGUUUGUAUAUGUGUUCCCUGCUAAGAUUUCUUAUAUUUAUAGUUUUUCAGUUAUUUGUGGAGAUUGAGGGUGUGGGUGUUCAAGGAGUAUAUCCAAAACGGUUUUGUGUUUUUUCGUUUGAAUAGGGAGUAUAAAAGUAGGUUUCAACAGUUCACCGCUAGAUGGCAGUUACUGUUUUUUUCUCUUAUCUUAUUCAAGUAGAAAGGGAAAGUAAAGUUUUUCCCUUAUAGUUUCUACAAGUUUGUUUAUAUUUACAUAUACAUAUACAUAUUGUUGUAUGUUGUUAUUGUUAUAUUUUAUUUGUUUUAUUUUAUGUUAUUUUUAUUCCAUUUUAUUUUAUUUUAUUUAUUUAUCUUUUUCUUUUA